rnacentral:rRNA from 1 species
UACGAAGGUGGCGAGCGUUACCCGGAUUGAUUGGGUGUAAAGAGUUCGUAGACGGUUUAAAAAGUUCUUGGUCAAAUCUUGAGGCUCAACUUCGAGACUGCCAAGAAGACUUUUAGACUAGAGACUGGAAGAGGCAAGCGGAAUUGCCGGUGUAGUAGUAAAAUGCGUUGAUAUCGGCAGGAACACCAAAAGCGAAGGCAGCUUGCUAGUACAGUUCUGACGUUCAGGAACGAAAGCGUGGGUAG